rnacentral:rRNA from 1 species
GAUCAUUACCGAGUUAGGGUUGCCUCCCACGGCGCCCGACCUCCCAACCCUGUGUCUACACUACCUUGUCGUUGCUUCGGCGGACCGGUUCCCGACCAACUGGUUCGCACGACCGCCGGGGUCGGCUCAGCCGUCCUGGAGAGUGUCCGCCGAUGGCCACUUACACAAAACUCUUUGAACAAAAACCUGUCGUCUGAAUUUAUUUUAUUGAUUACACAAUCAAACCAAAACUUUCAACAACGGAUCUCUUGGUUCUGGCAUCGAUGAAGAACGCAGCGAAAUGCGAUAAGUAAUGCGAAUUGCAGAAUUUCCGUGAGUCAUCGAAUCUUUGAACGCACAUUGCGCCCAUUGGCAUUCCGAUGGGCAUGCCUGUUCGAGCGUCAUUAUCCUCCCUCAAAACCUCGUGUUUUGGUGUUGGGCCACGUCGUUGAGACACACGACGGGCCUCAAAGACAAUGACGGCGUCCGUGGGACCCUCGGUGCAACGAGCUUCUUCGUAAGCACGCGUCGAGUUAAGGACCCUCGGGCCCGGUCGCCUCUAGUAUUUUUCUAAGGUUGACCUCGGAUCAG